rnacentral:rRNA from 1 species
AUUUUGGACAAUGGGGGAAACCCUGAUCCAGCCAUCCCGCGUGUAUGAUGAAGGCCAUCGGGUGGUAAAGUACUUUGGGCAGAGAAGAAAAGGUACCUCCAAAGACGAGAUACUGCUGACGGUCUCCGCUGAAUAAGCACAGGCUAACUCCGUUCCUGGAGCCGCGGUAAUACGUAGGGUGCAAGCGUUAAUCUGAAUUACUGGGCGUAAAGCGUGUGUAGGCGGUUCGGAAAGAAAGAUGUGCAAGCCCAGGGCUCAACCUUGGAACUGCCUUUUUAACUGCCGAGCUAGAGUAUGUCAGAGGGGGGUAGAAUUCCACGUGUAGCAGUGAAAUGCGUAGAUAUGUGGAGGAAUACCGAUGGCGAAGGCAGCCCCCUGGGAUAAUACUGACGCUCAGACACGAAAGCGUGGGGAGCAAACAG